UACAGAGGGGGCAAGCGUUGUUCGAGAUUACUGGGCGUAAAGAGCUCGUAGGCGGUUUGUCGCGUCUGCUGUGAAAACUCGGGGCUUAACCCCGGGCCUGCAGUGGGUACGGGCAGACUAGAGUGCGGUAGGGGAGACUGGAAUUCCUGGUGUAGCGGUGAAAUGCGUAGAUAUCUGGAGGAACACCGGUGGCGAAGGCGGCAUCCUGGACCGACACUGACGCUGAGGAGCGAAAGCGUGGGGAGCAAACGGG
rnacentral:rRNA from 1 species